rnacentral:lncRNA from 1 species
UGCCUGCCUUUAGGGGCUGAUGGCCACAGCACAAAGCCCCAGAUGCUGAAGGGCCUGUGUCUUUUAUCUGUGUCACUGUAGGCAGAGUCUCCAGGUCUGGGCUUGCUGCAUGAGAGGAAGCUGGGGGCUCCCGCAGCCCAGCUCCACGAGGAUGUGACGGACAGUCAGGCAGCACUGUUCCGUGCCCGGGCCCGUGUAGCAGAGUUGGAGAGCCAGGUGCAGACAUUGGAGCUGGCACGGGCUCAGGACAAACCCUUGUUGGAGAUCCUCCGGCAGCGGCACCAGGAGGACCUGGAUCUCCUCGACAGCACCCACAGGAGCCAGGUGAAGAUGUUAGAGGAGACCUGCAGGCAGUGAGAGCAGAGGCUGCGGCAGGAGAAGGAGCAGUUGGUGGCUCAGCUCCUGGGGCAGAGGCAGGAGGCGGAGCAGGAGUGGGCGGAGCUGCUGGCGCAGCACUUGGCCGAGCUGGAGCGGCUGCGAGAGCUGCAGAGGUGAGAGUGGCACGAGCAGUGCAGGUGUGGGGCCGGUGCUGCUGGUUGUGGCAGAGGAAUUGGGGACUGGUUUGGGGCCAUGGUGACAGGAGCCUCCAGAAGCACUGG